rnacentral:lncRNA from 1 species
ACUGGCGGCCGAGGUUCCGCGCUGAAGAGGAGGGAGGAGGGGGGCCCGGCCUGGCAGGUCGUGGCCCUGUGGGGCAAAACCCUGCAGGGCCACGUGAUGGGACCUGGGCUGGUCCCUGCGGCGCCACUUAGCAACGGGCUGCAAGAAGAGACGACUUCGGAGGGCCCAGGGUCCUUUGAGCUCCUAGAGGUCCCGUGUGGAACCAUCUGGAAGAGGUAGGAUCCCCUCGCGAGUUUACCCCGGACGUGUGGCGAAUAAAGUUAAGCAUUUUUAACGGUAGGACACAAGAUGGUGCUAUCUAUGAGGAACAGGCCCUCAGCAGACACCAGAUCUGCUGGUGCCUUGAUCUUGGA